rnacentral:rRNA from 1 species
GACAGAGGGUGCAAGCGUUAAUCGGAAUUACUGGGCGUAAAGGGCUUGUAGGCGGUUUAUUAAGUCGAGCGUUAAAACCCUGGGCUCAACCUGGGAAUGUCACUCGAUACUGGUAGACUUGGAGUUAAGUAGAGGUAAGUGGAAUUUCCGGUGUAGCGGUGAAAUGCGUAGAUAUCGGAAGGAACAUCAGUGGCGAAGGCGGCUUACUGGACUUAAACUGACGCUGAGGAGCGAAAGCGUGGGGAGCAAACAGG